CCGAGUCACGUGCUCAAACAACCCUUCUGUGGACCUGAAAUAAACCGUUGCCUCGGCGGGCGGUCCCCUGCUAAAAACCCAUGUGGUGUAGGCAGGGGACCAGACAGUCCGGUACGCUUGAGGCGUCCGGCGCCAGCCGCUGGCCCUAAAAAAUUAAACUCUAGUAACCUUACCUUCUGAGUUUUAAUACAAAAAAUAAGUCA
rnacentral:misc_RNA from 1 species